rnacentral:rRNA from 1 species
GUGGCGUUGUAGAUUCUAACUCCACCCAUGUGACUUACCUUUUGUUGCCUCGGCAGAAGUUAUAGGAUCUCUUAUAGCUGCUGCCGGUGGACCAUUAAACUCUUGUUAUUUUAUGUAAUCUGAGCGUCUUAUUUUAAUAAGUCAAAACUUUCAACAACGGAUCUCUUGGUUCUGGCAUCGAUGAAGAACGCAGCGAAAUGCGAUAAGUAAUGUGAAUUGCAGAAUUCAGUGAAUCAUCGAAUCUUUGAACGCACAUUGCGCCCAUUAGUAUUCUAGUGGGCAUGCCUGUUCGAGCGUCAUUUCAACCCUUAAGCCUAGCUUAGUGUUGGGAAUCUACUUCUCUUAGGAGUUGUAGUUCCUGAAAUACAACGGCGGAUUUGUAGUAUCCUCUGAGCGUAGUAAUCUUUUUCUCGCUUUUGUUAGGUGCUAUAACUCCCAGCCGCUAAACCCCCAAUUUUUUGUGGUUGACCUCGGAUCAGGUAGGAAUACCCGCUGAACUUAAGCAUAUCAAUAAGCGGAGGAA